ensembl:lncRNA
AAGCCCAGGGGAAGAGCGUGUUGACCAGACUCCCAGCAAGAGGAGGAGUUAGUGUCCUGCUGCUGCUGGGACAAAAGGAUGGUUGUGGAGCAGGCUGCCCGGGGCUCCAGCCCACCUGACCUCCGCCUGCAGUAUCUCCAUCAGAUCCACGCCAACCAUGAGACGCUGCUGCGGGAGGUGCAGACCCUGCGUGACCGGCUGUGCACGGAGGACGAGGCCAGCUCCUGUGCCACUGCCCAGCGUCUCCUGCAGGUGUACCGACAGCUCCGCAGCCCCAGCCUCCUCCUGCUGUGACACCAGCCACCACGGCCUCCGCACUCAGCCUCAACACUGCCGGGCACCCCCUACCCAGAACACUGGGGCUGGAUCAGCGAUGUCCCUGCAUUCUGACUCCGGGUCCAGACCCCUGAGCAGGAGCACUCUUGCCCGUGCGGCUUGUGCGGCCAGGGAGAGGGGCUUCUGGUUUGAGACUCGGGCGCAUCUGGGUCAGUGGUGUCACAUUCCCACCGCCACGCCCAGAGCCCAGGGCUGCCCCUCUUGGUGGCACCACAGCCCACCCACAGACCUCUUGUCCAGCACCUGCCUACCGCCUGACUGGGCGCCUCAGCCCUGCUUCUCUGCGGCUGCUGGGGUCACCGGGUGGGAGGUGCUCCCUGUGACCAAAGCACAAAGAUGGGGUGGGGGUGUUCCCUGCAGUUACCCUAAGACCAAAACACUCAACAACUGGUGCCUCCAGCUGGGGCCACACCCAGCAUCCAGCACUGUGCACUGUUUCCAAGGGUCCCUCAGGGCGGGCAGCCACCCCCCUUGGCCCCGGUGCUUUUGGGGAGGGUGACUCCCUGGACUUGACACGGUGCUCUCCUGUGUGUGCAGGGCCUGCGAGGCACCCUGCCUCAAAAAGUGACCCUUUCUGUUGCAAUGCCGUGGCCUUGGCUGCUUUUUACCCUCCCCACCUCGGUCAGAUGGCAGUUUCCACCUGGAUUGCUGGUGCCCCCUGCCCCUAGCUCUGCACCCCUGCCAAGUCUGGUGGCCUCUGCACCGCCCAUCCUCUGCACGGAGGCUCUGCUCUCCAUCCCAGGGGCCAGGGCAGCCUACUGCCACACCAACCCCACUCCUGGAGCCCCCCGAGUACUCUUCCCUGCCUCUCUCUCCAGCUGCUGCCCCGGGCUCUGGGGGCUCUGCUGAGUGUCUGAGGCCAAGUGCACUGGCGAAGCUCAGCAAACAGAAACCCCUCUUCAGUGCCCCAUGGAGUCGGGGAGCCCUGAGAGCACCUGAGC